GGGAAGCAGGAGUGGAGUGUGAGAGUGAGCGUGUGUGUGUGUGUGUGUGUGUGUGUGUGUGUGUGUGUGUGUGUCUGGGUGCUGUUGGCUGUACAGUUUGGGCUGGGGUCUCAGAUUCUCUUUCUUCUAAUAUAAGGCUAUUUAAAAUGCUACUGUCUUGAUCCGACAUAUUGCCUACUGGAAAGGACAUGCCACCGUUAUUCAAUUCUGUAGCAUAACACUGGGUCACAAACGUGGUGGAUAUCCAGGACUGAACUUCUAGCUGCCGGCAUGAGGGUUUGGCUCUGGUUCACAACUAGGGAUUCCAUAAAUACACAUGUGCAGCUGUCUGGUCCAAGGAGAUUGAGCCACACCCCUCACCCUCUUAGCCGUCUAAUUUUGGUCUUGGUCAAUACACAUCAGACCUAUUUCCCUUAAUACAUAAAAAACAAUAGUUACUACUGUUUUGCUAAACUGUUGGAAUCUCUCUGGAUAUUUUAUGCACUUUCUGCUGGGCUCUGUUGUUAUGUUCUUAUAUAAAUAUUACACAUAUUGCUUUAA